CAUGUGCUGAAUGUUUGCAAACUUUCUUCCACAAAGCAAUAUUUGUACAAUAUCCAAAGGGGCUAUUCUGAACAUUUCGUCUGGCAGUGGCAUGCUCCCUGUCCCACUGUUGACCAUCUAUUCUGCAACCAAGACUUUUGUAGAUUUCUUCUCUCGGUGCCUCCAUGAGGAGUAUAGGAGCAAGGGCGUCUUUGUGCAGAGUGUCCUGCCAUACUUUGUAGCUACAAAACUGGCUAAAAUCCGGAAGCCAACUUUGGAUAAGCCCUCUCCGGAGACGUUUGUGAAGUCUGCAAUUAAAACAGUCGGCCUGCAAUCCCGAACCAAUGGAUACCUGAUCCAUGCUCUUAUGGGCUCAAUAAUCUCAAACCUGCCUUCUUGGAUUUAUUUCAAAAUAGUCAUGAAUAUGAACAAGUCUACACGGGCUCACCAUCUGAAGAAAACCAAGAAGAACUAAGCAUUGAUAACUGCAUUGUAACUUGGCCAGAUGCUCCAGCAUAUGCACGUUCACUGC
rnacentral:sRNA from 1 species